ensembl:lncRNA
GUCUGUGGGAGAUGGUGGUAGGGAGGAGGGGCUGCCUCUGGGUCAGAGAGAGGAGCAACACCCUGGAGUCUCCUCUCUUCCUGCCUCCAGGCUCCUCCCAGCGCUAUCCAUUGGCUCGACCCAACCUAAAGUCCAUCUCCCAGCAAGAAGUCUGCAAAAGGUGGUUUGCAAGAAUCAACACCCUGUGAUUCACAGCGCAGUAGAGGAGGAACAGGGGCUGGAUGAGGGAAAAGAGCAACUCACCAGCACACAGAGGGUUCCUGUGAACACCUCGGUUGAGAUUACAUCCUGAACUACCACACAGUAUACAAUCAGUGAAUGUAUAAUCGUCUCUGCUGCUGCUGCUGCUAAGUCGCUUCAGUCGUGUCAGACUCUGUGCAACCCCACAGACGGCAGCCCACCAGGCUCCCCCAUCCCUGGGAUUCUCCAGAUAUGCGCCCAGGAGUGGGAUUGCUGGAUCAUAUGGUACUCACUGAGCUUCCCAGAUGGUGGUACUGGUAAAGAAUCUGUCUGCUAAUGCAGGAGAUGCAAGAGAUGUGGGUUCAAUCCCUGGCUCAAGAGGAUCCCCUGAAGGAGAACAUGGCAACCCACUGCAGUAUUCUUGCCUGGAGAAUCCCCAUGGACAGAGGAGCUUGGCAGGCUACAGUCCACAGGGUCGCAGAGAGUCGGACAUGACUGAAGCAACUUAGCAGGCACUCAUGCAAGUACUUGCUGCUAUAUUGAUAAUGGAUAAUCAACAAGGACUUACUUUAUUGCACAGGGAAUUCCGCUCAUUGUUAUGUAUCAGGCUGGAUGGGAGGGGAGUUUGGGGGAGAAUGGAUCCAUUUAUAUGUAUGGCUGAGUCACUUUGCUGUCCAUCUGAAACUAUUGCAGCGUUUUUCAUCAGCUACACUCCAAUAUAAAAUAAAGUGUUUAAAAAAUAAAAAAAUGGGAGGUGGGAGAGGGGUUCAGGAUGGGGAACACAUGUACACCCAUGGCAGAUUCAUGUCAAUGUAUGGCAAAACCAAUACAAUAUUGUAAAGUAAUUAGCCUCCAAUUUAAAUAAAUUUAUAUUAAAAUAUGACAUAUAUUUUAUUUAUAUAUAAGCUUAUACAUAUUUUACAAUGAAAUAUAUUAAUUCCAUAACAAAAAGGUUAAAAUAUUCGUUAUGAUUAGAAUAGAUAUCAAUCUUUGUUAGAAACAUUUAAGAAGCAUGCAAACUGGCAUCUGUCUGGGGUGAUGGCUGUCCCACCUGCCUAGGGAAGACCUCCAAAGCUUUC